rnacentral:rRNA from 1 species
GAUGAACGCUGGCGGCGUGCCUAAUACAUGCAAGUCGAGCGAACAGACGAGGAGCUUGCUCCUCUGACGUUAGCGGCGGAAGGGUGAGUAACACGUGGAUAACCUACCUAUAAGACUGGGAUAACUUCGGGAAACCGGAGCUAAUACCGGAUAAUAUAUUGAACCGCAUGGUUCAAUAGUGAAAGACGGUUUUGCUGUCACUUAUAGAUGGAUCCGCGCCGCAUUAGCUAGUUGGUAAGGUAACGGCUUACCAAGGCAACGAUGCGUAGCCGACCUGAGAGGGUGAUGGGCCACACUGGAACUGAGACACGGUCCAGACUCCUACGGGAGGCAGCAGUAGGGAUUCUUCCGCAAUGGGCGAAAGCCUGACGGAGCAACGCCGCGUGAGUGAUGAAGGUCUUCGGAUCGUAAAACUCUGUUAUUAGGGAAGAACAAAUGUGUAAGUAACUAUGCACGUCUUGACGGUACCUAAUCAGAAAGCCACGGCUAACUACGUG